UGAACAUUGGGUAGGGGAGCGUUCUGUAAGCCGUUGAAGGUGUGUUGUAAAGCAUGCUGGAGGUAUCAGAAGUGCGAAUGCUGACAUGAGUAACGACAAGGGGGGUGAAAAACCUCCCCGCCGGAAGACCAAGGGUUCCUGUCCAACGUUAAUCGGGGCAGGGUAAGUCGACCCCUAAGGCGAGGCUGAAAAGCGUAGUCGAUGGGAAACGGGUUAAUAUUCCCGUACUUCUUACAAUUGCGAUGGGGGGACGGAGAAGGCUAGGUGGGCCUGGCGACGGUUGUCCAGGUUCAAGUGCGUAGGCUGAGUGUUUAGGUAAAUCCGGACACUCUUAAGGCUGAGACACGACGUCGAGCUACUACGGUAGUGAAGUCAUUGAUGCCAUGCUUCCAGGAAAAGCCUCUAAGCUUCAGAUUGUAAGGAAUCGUACCCCAAACCGACACAGGUGGUCGGGUAGAGAAUACCAAGGCGCUUGAGAGAACUCGGGUGAAGGAACUAGGCAAAAUGGUACCGUAACUUCGGGAGAAGGUACGCUCUUGAUGGUGAAGUCCCUUGCGGAUGGAGCUGACGAGAGUCGCAGAUACCAGGUGGCUGCAACUGUUUAUUAAAAACACAGCACUGUGCAAAAUCGUAAGAUGACGUAUACGGUGUGACGCCUGCCCGGUGCCGGAAGGUUAAUUGAUGGGGUUAGCGCAAGCGAAGCUCUUGAUCGAAGCCCCGGUAAACGGCGGCCGUAACUAUAACGGUCCUAAGGUAGCGAAAUUCCUUGUCGGGUAAGUUCCGACCUGCACGAAUGGCGUAAUGAUGGCCACGCUGUCUCCACCCGAGACUCAGUGAAAUUGAAAUCGCUGUGAAGAUGCAGUGUACCCGCGGCUAGACGGAAAGACCCCGUGAACCUUUACUACAGCUUGGCACUGAACAUUGAACCUACAUGUGUAGGAUAGGUGGGAGGCUUUGAAGACGUGACGCCAGUUGCGUUGGAGCCGUCCUUGAAAUACCACCCUUGUAUGUUUGAUGUUCUAACGUUGGCCCCUAAUCGGGGUUGCGGACAGUGCCUGGUGGGUAGUUUGACUGGGGCGGUCUCCUCCCAA
rnacentral:rRNA from 1 species